AACGAACGCUGGCGGCAUGCCUAACACAUGCAAGUCGAACGAGACCUUCGGGUCUAGUGGCGCACGGGUGCGUAACGCGUGGGAACCUGCCCUUAGGUUCGGAAUAACUCCCCGAAAGGGGUGCUAAUACCGGAUAAUGUCUUCGGACCAAAGAUUUAUCGCCUUUGGAUGGGCCCGCGUUGGAUUAGCUAGUUGGUAGGGUAAAAGCCUACCAAGGCGACGAUCCAUAGCUGGUCUGAGAGGAUGAUCAGCCACACUGGGACUGAGACACGGCCCAGACUCCUACGGGAGGCAGGAGUGGGGAAUAGUGGACAAUGGGCGAAAGCCUGAUCCAGCAAUGCCGCGUGAGUGAUGAAGGCCUUAGGGUUGUAAAGCUCUUUUACCCGGGAUGAUAAUGACAGUACCGGGAGAAUAAGCUCCGGCUAACUCCGUG
rnacentral:rRNA from 1 species